UACGUAGGCAGCGAGCGUUGUUCGGAAUUCUGGGCGUAAAGAGUGUGUAGGCGGUGCUCUAAGUUCGGUGUGAAAUCUCCCGCUUAACUGGGAGGGUGCGCCGGAAACUGGAGUGCUCGAGCGUGGGAGAGGGAAAGCGGAAUUCCUGGUGUAGCGGUGAAAUGCGUAGAUAUCAGGAGGAACACCUGCGGUGUAGACGGCUUUCUGGACCAUUGCUGACGCUGGAGAACACGGAAAAGCGUGGGUAGCAAACAGG
rnacentral:rRNA from 1 species